rnacentral:rRNA from 1 species
AACGAACGCUGGCGGCGUGCCUAAUACAUGCAAGUCGAGCGCAGGAAAUCGAUGGAACCCUUCGGGGGGAAGUCGAUGGAAUGAGCGGCGGACGGGUGAGUAACACGUAAAGAACCUGCCCUCAGGUCUGGGAUAACCACGAGAAAUCGGGGCUAAUACCGGAUGGGUCAUCGGACCGCAUGGUCCGAGGAUGAAAGGCGCUUCGGCGUCGCCUGGGGAUGGCUUUGCGGUGCAUUAGCUAGUUGGUGGGGUAAUGGCCCACCAAGGCGACGAUGCAUAGCCGACCUGAGAGGGUGAUCGGCCACACGGGGACUGAGAAACGGCCCAGACUCCUACGGGAGGCAGCAGUAGGGAAUCUUCCACAAGGGACGAAAGUCUGAUGGAGCAACGCCGCGUGAACGAUGAAGGCCUUCGGGUCGUAAAGUUCUGUUGUAAGGGAAGAACAAGUGCCGCAGGCAAUGGCGGCACCUUGACGGUACCUUGCGAGAAAGCCACGGCUAACUACGUGCCAGCCGCCGCCGUAA